rnacentral:rRNA from 1 species
AGUCGAACGGCAGCACGGACUUCGGUCUGGUGGCGAGUGGCGAACGGGUGAGUAAUGUAUCGGAACGUGCCUAGUAGCGGGGGAUAACUACGCGAAAGUAGCUAAUACUGCACAUUGCCCUCGGGGGAAAGCGGGGACCUUCGCCCCGCACUAUUAGAGCGGCCGAUAUCGGAUUAACCAGUUGCGGGGUAACGGCUCACCAAGGCGACGAUCCGUAGCUGGUUUGAGAGGACGACCAGCCACACUGGGACUGAGACACGGCCCAGACUCCUACGGGAGGUACACAGCAGUGGGGAAUUUUGGACAAUGGGGAAACCCCUGAUCCAGCCAUCCCCGCGUGUGCGAUGAAGGCCUUCGGGCUUGUAAAGCACUUUUGGCAGGAAGAAACGGCACGGGAUAAUACCCGCAACUGACGGUACCUGCAGAAUAAGCACCGACUAACUACGUGCCAGCAGCCGGUAAUACGUAGGUGCAAGCGUUAAUCGGAAUUACUGGGCGUAAAGCGUGCGCAGGCGGUUCGGAAAGAAAGAUGUGAAAUCCCAGAGCUAACUUUGAAACUGCAUUUUUAACUACCGAGCUAGAGUGUGUCAGAGGGAGGAAUUCCCGCGUAGCAGUGAAAUGCGUAGAUAUGCGGAGUGAACACCGACAUGAAGGCAGCCUCCCGGGAUAACACCGAUUUCAUGCACGAAAGCGUGGGAGCAAACAGGAUUAGAUAUUCCUGGUAGUCCACGUGCUCCAAAACGAUGUCAACUAGCUGUUGGGGCCUUUCGGGCCUGGUAGCGCAGCCAACGCGUGAAGUUGACCGCCUGGGGAGUACGGUCGUGAUAAAACUCAAAGGAAUUGACGGGGACGCGCACAAGCGGUGGAUGAUGAUUAAUUCGAUGCAAACGCGAAAAACUCCAUCACCCUUGACAUGUUCGAAUCCCGGAAGAUAUCGGAGUGCCUGUGCGAACCGGAACACAGGUGCUGCAUGGCUGUCAUCAGCUGGUGGCUGCAGAUGUUGUUAAGUCCGCACGAUGCAACCCUGCUGGCUAGUUGCCACAGCGCACUGACGACUGCCAGACAAACCGGAGGCGUGGUAUGACGCCAAGUCCCGCGGCCCUUAUGGUGGGGCUUCACACGCUGGCACAAUGGCCGGGACAGAGGGCGUCGCCAACCCGCGAGGGGGAGCCAAUCCCAGAAACCCGAUCGCAGUCCGGAUCGCAGUCUGCAACUCGACUGCGUGAAGUCGGAACUUCCGCUAGGGGACCGUGAUCGCUGUCGCAGAAUACGUUCCCGGGUCUUGCACACACCGCCCGUCACACCAAGGGAGUGGGUUUUACCAGAAGUAUUGAAUAAAUCGUAUGAGGGCGAUUACGGUAGGAUUCAUGACUGGGGUGAAGUCGUAACAAGGUA